AUUGAACGCUGGCGGCAUGCCUUACACAUGCAAGUCGAACGGCAGCACGGGAGCAAUCCUGGUGGCGAGUGGCGAACGGGUGAGUAAUAUAUCGGAACGUGCCCAGUCGUGGGGGAUAACGUAGCGAAAGCUACGCUAAUACCGCAUACGAUCUAUGGAUGAAAGCGGGGGAUCGCAAGACCUCGCGCGAUUGGAGCGGCCGAUAUCAGAUUAGGUAGUUGGUGAGGUAAAGGCUCACCAAGCCGACGAUCUGUAGCUGGUCUGAGAGGACGACCAGCCACACUGGGACUGAGACACGGCCCAGACUCCUACGGGAGGCAGCAGUGGGGAAUUUUGGACAAUGGGCGCAAGCCUGAUCCAGCAAUGCCGCGUGCAGGAUGAAGGCCUUCGGGUUGUAAACUGCUUUUGUACGGAACGAAACGGUGGGCUCUAAUACAGUUUGCUAAUGACGGUACCGUAAGAAUAAGCACCGGCUAACUACGUG
rnacentral:rRNA from 1 species